rfam:Triticum aestivum genome assembly, contig: Triticum_aestivum_CS42_TGACv1_scaffold_002590_1AL
GGACGGUGACGAUUGAUAUUUGGUCUCGUUCGUCGUAACUGGCAAUCUCCUUGCCUUGCCGACCAUCCUGCAAUAUCACCACCCAUAUUCCGAGUCC